CUAGCUUUAAGCCUGUUCUUUUAGUUUCCAUUGUACUAGUGUAGGAUGUAGGCCAUUUCAGAAUAGAUACAGAGAAAUAACCAUUUUUGUAUCUUCAUCUUGUUUAGCUGAGUACAUUGCACUGUAAAUCCCUGUUAAGUGGAUUCCUUUUGCCUUGGCUUGGAGGCUGGAGCAGCCCAUUUCCCCACUUGUCUGGGUAACCAUCAGCUGCCCUCCCAGCAGCACCCAGGCUUACCAUUUAGUUGGAGGCAAAAUUUAUUAAAUACAUAUUAAAAAGAAAAUCCACAAUGAAAUGACAACAGUUGCUGCUAUUUCGGCUUUUGAAAAAAAAAAAUUGGUGCACCGAGGUCCCUGUCUUAAGGGGAGCCGAUGUGGCCAUAGGUCCUAAUUGUUUAAUUGUACAACGUUAAGAGCAUCUUUGGACAUCUGCCCUGGCCCUCGGGGCUCCCUUCUGCUGCCUGGCCAGCCAGACCUGCUCGAACACUGAAACAAAACAGCAGCGAUCACGAGAAAGAAUAAGGCGCCUGCUUUGAGGGCCCUUCCAAAAUAGUCCCAAGAAGCUGCCUCAGAAGGCCGUUUGGCAAUCUGAGAAGAGAAAAAGAAAAAAAAAAGAAAGAAAAACAAAACAAAGUAAAAUAAAACCUCAGCAAAAUGGUUUUCCAUUAAACAGGGGUAGCGUGUUCUGCUGUGCUGAAUUACUUCCUGUUCUUAUUUUGUGGGUAAUUUUUAUGUAUCGAAUACCCUUUUGGUUGUGUAUCUUCUCACCUUUUCUUGUACUAAACUGAAGCAUGAUCUGUCUUUUUUUACACCCCCCAGUGGACAAUGUACAGCCCUCGGUUAGAGAUGUUGCCCUGCUGAACCGCACUGUGGUCGUGUAACCCGGGCCAUCCGCUCAUUGUACUCCUGCUUUUGUUCCGUUCCCCUCCCGAAGCAUGGUGGGCCCAGCCUUUUCUUUCCUUUAUUUUUUUUCUCUCCCUUUUUUUGUAUCGUGUGCAUGAUGACAUUGUUACACACAGAAUCCACUAAUACUAAUAUACGAUCUCAAUAAAGAACUAGUUUUCCUAUAUU
rnacentral:lncRNA from 1 species